UAGGCUUGACAUGCACGGAAAUCUCGCAGAGAUGCGGGGUGCCUUUGGCGUCGUGCACAGGUGGUGCAUGGUUGUCGUCAGCUCGUGUCGUGGGAUGUUGGGUUAAGUCCCGCAACGAGCGCAACCCUCGUUCUAUGUUGCCAGCGCGUGAUGGCGGGGACUCAUAGGAGACUGCCGGGGUCAACUCGGAGGAAGGUGGGGAUGACGUUUCCAGGUUAGG
rnacentral:misc_RNA from 1 species